UUUUUUUUUUUUUUUUUUUUUUUUGUUUUUUUUGUUUUUUUGCUACUUGAGUAAGGAUCAGUCUCAUGUAGCCUAAGCUGGCUUUGAACUUGCUAUGUCAUGGAAGAGGAUCCUCUUCCUAACCACAUACUGGGGUUGUACAAUGAGACACCACACCCUGUUUUGUGUAGUGUUAGGAUGGAGCCUAGGACUUCUUGUAUUGGAAGCACUACCCACUGGGCUAUUCUUUCCUGCCCUCCCUCCUCUCCUUCUUGUCGCUCUCUCUCUCUCUCUCUCUCUCUCUCUCUCUCUCUCUCUCUCUCUCUCUCCCUCUCUCUCUCUCUCUCAUUUAUUUACACUGUGGAUCUCUUUAGACAAUACCAGAAGAGGGAUCCCAUUACAGAUGGUUGUGAGCCACCAUAUGGUUGCUGGGAUUUGAACUCAGGACCUCUGGAAGAGCAGUCAGUGCUCUUAACCGCUGAGCCACCCCUCCAGCCCCCUCCUGCUCCUUUUCUCCUUCUCUCUCUUAUUUUUGAGAUAUGAUCUCAUGUAUUCAUGGACCCGGGCAAAGCUCUGACUAUGUAGUGGAACUGAUUCUCCUGUCUCCACCUCUCAAGUGUUGGCCGCACAGUGGGUAUUCUGUCCAGUUUUCUGGGUUCCCGUGGGGUAACUAAAGGACUCAUCCCGUGCCUGAGCUGGCCCGGUAGGUUUGUUCUUCGCAUGUGCAUCCGUGUGUCGGUGUUGGGAUGGACUCCGGGUUGUAUGCCUAUGAGUGACUUAGCCUUGUGAGAGCAAAGCCAUUGUUCCUGGUGACCGUCUUCCCUAUUGUCAUGGGGGCUGGGGCCGAGCUGUGUUAUGAGCUUUUGCCUGCUUUGCCUUGUGGGUAAUGUAGUCAGGAGCGUGGCUCCUGUUCACUGACUCAACCACUCUGAGUGUUUACUGAGAGCCAGCCAGGCACUAAGUCUCAUCCUCAGGCCAUGAACGGACGUCGUGGGUAGAACAGAAAAGGGUAGCAAGAACAGAAUCCUUGUGCACACCUGGCCUCAGUUUCCCUCUCUCCGAAACAAGACAUUUUGUUCCAAACUUCUGGAGGUGCCUCUGAGCGGAAGCGUCUGUGGUGUGUUAAGCUGUGAGUGCUCCUUGCCUGUCAAACAUGCAUCUUUACCUCAGGCUCCUGGAAGUGGGGCUGGGAAGGAGACCUGGAACCAGAGAGACUGGGCGGUUGGGUGGUGAUGGGCUCAGGUUGCAGGCGGGCCUGGCCUGCCAGCUGGCCUGGCCUCAGCCCCUCAGUGGGUCUUUGUCCUACCCUGGUUAUCGCUCGGGGUCCCUACUUGGCCCAAGGAGGUCUCAUCUGACCCUUAACUCUCGGUGUGAGCCUCCAGCUUGACCCCUGGGCAUGCUGAGAUCUUGGAAUACCAAGCACAGUUCAGAUACCAACAUUUCCCAUCUGCCUCAUCUCAGGCGAGCUUCUUAUUCUCUGCUGUAAAACCAGGGUGAGAGGCCCAUCCCUCCAGCUGACGGGAUGAGAAAUGGCUUGCACAUUAAGCAUCUGCUUCGGAAUGAGCAAAGCUGCUACUGCAGACUCCUGAGGAGUCUCCCCUUCACCUCCCGUGGAGAGAGAGCAAUAAAGAUAUCUGAAGAGCAACAGACCCAGCCAACAGAGCCCGAGUACCUUGGAGCUCAGCACACUCGAUGGGAGUCCCGGAGCAAAGCCCUCCUGCUGCUGUCCUCCUCUUCCUUGCAGAAACAGAGGCUGAGGGCCUUUUGCCUUCUGUCCCCCCAGACCUCUGAGCACUUUGCCUCAGGAGGUAUUGUCUGAAUGACCUGUUCCACUAACGCGUUUCCUGUCCAAAAUUGAUUUAAGUAAUUCUGGUUAGUUCUGGAAAUUCCAAAAGUAAGGGGAAAACUGACAGAAGCUUCUGGAAGGGGUUCUUGUCUCUCUCUCCUUCCAGCAGCAGUGGGUGGGGAUGAUACUGCGGAUGACAGGGGGUCCCGUUUGCCUCUGCAUGGGGUCUCCAUUGACCUCUGACCUCUGUUUUAAAGGAAGAGAGGACACAGUACAUAGGGACUUCAUGAGGUACAACUAGUGUGAGUCUGGAAGGCCUAGCUUACGAAUCUGGGGCCCGCUGGGUGUGGUGGCGUACAUACAGCACUCAGGAAGCAGAGGCGGGCAGAUCUCUGUGAGUUCAAGGCCAGCCUGGUCUACAGAGUGAGUUCCAGGACAGCCAGAACUAUGUAGAGAGACCCUGUUUAAAACAAAAACAAAAACAAAAACCCCAAACAAAGAAUGAAGGAGAAUAAGUCAAUCAAGAUGGAGACAGGAUGCUGGCCUCCUACUGCCUUCUCCUCCUCAGUCAGGUGCCCUGUCCAGUGUGUGGUUGACUCAUUUCCUGAGGCCCCACGACCUUCACACCGCAGAGGCGCCUUCCCAGCUUGGCUGCUGUCUCCAAGGAGAACCCAGAGAAAACAUUAACUCGAAGCCAUGGAGUGCAUCUGUGGAGUUCCGAGGGGUGCAGCCUCGGAGUCUCAGCCCUCGGGAAGCCAAGCCAAGUAGACAAACCAGUGUGGACAGGACCGGCUGGAGGUCAGCUCGGAGAUGCAGCUCUGACAUCAGACAGCUCGGCUCUCUUCCCCAGGCCUUGUGCCCACAUGUUGCUAACCAUGGGACUGUGAGGAACCGGUAGGUGCUCAGGUGCCUGGAGAACAGAGGUUCCUUUAGUUCCCCGGUCACCUCCCACCCACCUCGAGGCCAGCACUCAGGAGAGGCUGUGAUGCUAGACACUGAUGGGUGCUGAUAAGCCCAACACUGGGUAAGCCAAGGCAGGAAGAGGACUGCUUUGAGCCUGAGCCUCAAGACAUUGGGUUGGGAGAAUAGCUAAGUGGUAGACUGCUUAGCAUGCGCAAGGCUCUGGGUUCAAAUCCUGUCACAGGAUUAAGAAAAAAAAGAGUUGAAUAUAAUUUCAUUCUUGGUUGCUGGAGGCACCAGGUUCAAGAGUUCAAGGCCAGCUUAGGUUGCAGGAGACCCUAUCUAAAAACAACCAACAUCCCGUAAUUUCAGAUACCACCUUUUUGUUGUUUUAAGGGAACUCCUGAGAGAGAAGGCAAAAGUGUGUUGGUUCACUGGUGUAGGCGUCAAACCUCAAAAUGGGCUGGAAAGACAGCUCAGCAGUUAAGCACAUUUGAUGCUCUUCGAGUUCAGUUUCCAACCUCACAUCAGCUGGCUCCAGGGGAUCCAACACGUCUCAUCUUCUUUGGCCUGUGCAUUCACAUGCAGACAUGCAGAUACCUACAUACGAGCGUGCACUCACACACACACACACACACACACACACACACACACACACACACACACUCACUCACCACAUAUUUUUAAAUUAUACAAUUAAGAAAAAGUCCUGGGGGGGCUGGGGAUUUAGCUCAGUGGUAGAGCGCUUACCUAGGAAGCGCAAGGCCCUGGGUUCGGUCCCCAGCUCCGAAAAAAAAGAACCAAAAAAAAAAAAAAAAAGUCCUGGGGCUGGAAAGAUGGCUCAGUGGUUAAGAGCACUGACUGCUCUUCCAGAGGUCCUGAGUUCAAAUCCCAGCAACCACAUGGUGGCUCACAACCAUCUGUAAUGGGAUCCGAUCCCUUCUCCUGGUGGGUCUGAAGACAGCAACAGUGUAGCCACAUACUUGAAAUAAAUAAAUAAAUCUUAAAAAAAAAAAAAAAAAGAAAAGAAAAGAAAAAGUCCUUCAGGGCUGGAGAGACGGCUCAGUGGUUAAGAACACUGGCUGCUCUCCCAGAGGACCUGGGAUGGGUUCUCAGCACCCAUGUGGUAGCUCACAACUGUCUGUAACUCCAGUUCCAGGGGAUCUGGCACUGUCUUCUGACCUUUGAGGGCACUCACUGUGUGCAUAGGAUAUGCACACAUACAUACAUGCAGAUGCAUAAUCUGCAUAAGCUGCAUAAUCAACACCACCUUAGCCUGUACUUGUGAACCACAUGGAGACUUACAUCAGUUUUAUUGCAAUAGAGCUGUGGAAAAGCAACAAAACAAAUAAUCUUGUGAAAACUGUGGCUCGAUUGUAGGACACUUUUUUAACACGUGCACGGCCCUGGGUUCAAGCCCUCCCAAUACAAAACCAAGGGGAAAAAGAAACUCAUGUGUAAAUUCCCCCAAAUGAAGGGUGAAGACCAGCAGUCCUGGGUGACUCGGGUGAGGCUGGGCAAGCAGCCUGUGCUCUUGGCUCCCUCCCUCAGCCCAUGAACCUGAACCCCACUGAACAGUCUUAGAAAUCCUGUAGAAGCCCUAGACAGAGGGACUUAGGGACUGAGCGGAGCAGAGUGGAGCAGAAGUGGGGUCCUUCUAUGAGUGAUCAAAGCUCUUGGUGACUGGCACUGGGGGCAAUCCAGGAGCGCACCCAUAGUGGUCAGCGCUCAGCCCUCAGCAGAACCUGGAGGGAACCUGAGGGGAGCAGCGUCUGUCACAGUCGUCAAAGGGCUCUCAGACCAUGCUGGAGUCAAGAACGGGGACACACAGCCACUGCCUGAGUAUGACACCCCCUGGGACUGAGCCCUGCCAUCCAUCAACAGAGGAGUGUGGGGUACACACUUCCCCACCAGCCAAGGACGACUCAGAAAGGUUUGUGACCCUGUGUUAAGGCUCUGCAUCAGGAACACAGUACGCUGGUGUCCUACGGUGUUCUGUAGUCCAGGGACGAAGCUGCUGCCCAGAGAAGGGACGCCUAAUCCCAGAGGGAGGCUGGGCAGCCAUCUGCUCCACUGCAGCUGUGGGGAGGGCCGUCUCAGUGCAGGGCAGGACCAAGGCAGAGAGGCUGCCAGUGGGAGGAGGUUUCCCAGCCAGACAGAAGGCUGGCUGAUGCCAGCGCUGGGGUCAGAUGAUGACAGAUUUCCUGCUGAGCCCUCUGGAAUGUUUGGAACUCAACAAUGACAGUCCAGAAGUUUCUGUUUCCCUGGAAGGCUCCGAAGGGAAAGUUUAGAUAAAGACUCCUGGUUUUGUUUUUGUCCUCCUAUCCUGCCUCUCCUAUUCUGGGGCCUCCACUGGGGUGGAAGAACGGCAGAGACACUUGGCCACUUCCUGUCUCGCAUGUCUGUCUUCUCGCUGGCGUUUCAGAAGCUCACGUCGUACCCUCUUACGUUUCCCAGACAGCAAGGCCCACUCAUUUCCAAGACCCACUGAAAACAUUCCUAGUUUUCAGUUAUAUACGAAGUAUCACUUCAUUCUACAGAGAGGAGACUGAGGCCGAGAGAAGGUUGACUCUGGCCUGGGAACUAGCCGAGUUGGUUCCCAAACCUAUGCCUUUAGCCUCCCCAUCCUUGCUUCUGAUGACGCUUGAAGAGGGAGUGUGAGGUGACAGGAAACGGGAAACACGGACUGGUUUUGAGGUGUUCCUGUCAGGAAGUCUGAAUGCCCCGUUGACCCACCAAGCUGGACUCUGGAUGCAAACCUGAAGUAUUUCAGGACUCUCAUGAACAGUGCUAUCGAAGGCCCUGUAUACAAUGAAAGCACGUCUCAGCUUCCUUGAGUAGCCCUGUGACCCAUGCUCCCUCUCAGUGCACUCCAGAACCUGCUCCGUUAUCUUUGAGGCUCUUAUCAAACAUCUAAGACUUCACAAGCCCUCCAGGUCCUGUACACAGCCACAGGAAGAGCACUGAGGCAGAUAUCCCCCUCUUGAAAAGCCCUCAUGGCACACACAGGUAUGUUCUAUUGAUUUCCCCAGCACACAUCUCUGCCUUCUUCUCCCCUCAACCCCCAAUCUCUGUCUCUUGUCUGUCCUCUCAACUCUGUGGUUAGAUCUGUUAAAAUCUUUUCUUGGGUAUUGGGGAGGCAAUACAGCAUGUAUGAAGCCCUGAGUUCAAGAUCCAACAACACAUAAGCCAGUCACAGUAGCACGUUUGUCAUUCCAAGUCCCAGAAAGGCUGAGGCAGGCGAAUCUCCAUGCACUCGGGGCCACCCUGAAUCAGACCCGGACUCAAAACGACAUGUCCAGCAUGGUGACACACGCCUUUGAUCCCAGCACUCAGGAGGCAGAAGCAGAAAGAUCUCUGGGUUUGAGGCCAGCCUGGUCUACACACCAAGUCCUAAGACAGUCAGGGCUACAUAGUGGACCCUGUCUCAAGAAAACAAAACAAACAAAACGAAAACAACUGCCUCAAAAGACAAGCCGUAAGCGAGCAGUUGCUAUAGAAGAAACCUGACCCUUGAGUUUGAACCACAGAUCUGACAUAAAGUGGAAAGAAUGGACUUCAUAAAGUUAUUCUCUGACCUGGGCACGGUGGUACACACAAGCAUAUUUACACAGCAUACACGGAUGUAAAUGCACCCAACAAUAACAAGAAUAAAUAACACCUUCUAGGCAUGGUGGCACACGCCUUUACUAAAUCCCAGCUCUUGGAGACAGAGGCAUGCAAGAUAUCAGAGUUGAAGGACAGCCAGGUUUUCAUACUGAGUUCCUAUCCAGCCAACGAUACAUGGUGAAACCAUGAAACCCUGUCUCAAAACAAACAACAGGGCAUGCUGAGAUGGCUCAGUGGUUGACAGCAAUGCUUGGUCUUCCCAGAGGACUGGGGUUUAAUCCCCAGCAACUCUGUGCAACCAUCUAUAAUCCUAGGGAAUCCGACGGCCUCUGAGGGCAUGCACACGGGAGGUACAAACACAUACGCACACAUUCAAGCAAAACACCCAUCUCUCCCCCCACCCCCAUUUCCCUCUCCCUCUCCUGAGGCAGGCAGAUCUCUAUUAAGGUCAAGUCCAGCCUGGUCUGCCUAGUCUACAUAGCUUCAAGCCAGCCAAGGCUAUAUAGUGAGAUCUUGUCUCAAAAUAAGACCAAAAAUAACUAAAGACAAAAACGCCAAGAAACGAACUGAGGAUGCUCCAGGUGGCCUCUGUGACUUCAGCUGAUCCACAGGUAGCCAACAGCACCCCAGGCUCCAGGCUCUCUACCUCUUGUGCUGACUUUACCCUCAGAGGGAAACUUUCUGGCAAGAACUGCUGUGGCUCCGGCUAUCUGCCAUCAGUAUGCUGUCCUGGGAAGAGUGGAAGCCCCUUCCAGCUCUGCAGAACUGAGAGGGCUCCUCAGUCCACACAGCCAGCCCUCCAUGAUGGCCUCUCUUGGCCAAUCUAUAAAGGCUCUGGUGAUGGCUGCCGUCAACCCUGUGACUUAGAAGAAAUACCUUGUGGAUGUAACCCCUUCCCCCAACUGAACCCGGGUUCUGUCUCCCAUUUCAUGAGACUCCAACGGAGCCAUACGGGUAUGAGGGAGGUGACGCUGGCACACAUGGGCCAGCCAUGGCAUGUGGUAGAGAUGGCAGAACACUCCGAUACAGGAUACUUCCUGCCACCUAGUGUGGGUUGGAAACAAGGCUUAGAGGGAGGGGUGGGCUCUGGAUUGACAGACAGAACCCAAACCCACUCACUGAACUUCUCAAGACGUCGUGAGUUUCCUCAGCUAUGAACUGGAGAGAAAUGGGUAGAGCUGGGUCAAGUUCAAUGGUCAGUUCAUCUGGAAACCCAGGGAGAACUUCUGAGCAGGGGAAAAGCACCUCGUGCUUCCAGGGCAAGGGCAAGGGCAAGGUGAAAGUGCAGAAGAAGCGUUUCCUGAGGGGGGGGUGGGCUGGAUGGGGGGGCGCACGCAUGCAUAUGCACAUACACAGGAACUGAGUUCAAGGUCACCCUUGGUCAUAAAGCUCAUGGUCAGCCUGCAUAUAUGUGACCCUGCCUAAAAUAAUAACAAUCAAAAGGAAAGACAAUGAACGGAGCAAGCAGUCUUAGAACUCCAUAGUAUGUCGGCUCAUUCUGUGGCCAAGUGGGGAUUAGGCGCCACCCAGUGGACAAAUCUGAAGACAGUUGGGUCCAGAAAAGAAUGGGAAAGUCUCUGUUCCUGUAAGGAUGGUGCCAAAGAAAUUUUGGUUUUUGCUUUGUUGAAAUUUGCCACUUGAUAGAACCUUCUAUGUAGAUCAGGCUGGCUCCCCAGUCACACUGGGCUGGAAUACAUUCUCAGUGAAUGGCCAUGGUGUACGGUGUGCACGUCUCACCUGACGGUUUACGCUAACGACUCGCUGUUUAUAAGGACUCUAUGGAAAUGAUGCUAAACAAAAAUCCAAAUUCUAGUAAUUUCUGUGUUCAGAAAUGGGUCAGGAAGCUUUAAAGACUUGUAACAAUGUACUUGGACCACGAACCGUACCAACACGGCAGAUAGUGAUGGUUUGGAAGAGAGAACCUUGAAGAUGAGGACAGUGCUAAGAAAGCUGACCACCUCCUCCAUUUCCUUUACUGAGUCAUUAGUGCUGCCAGCUGAGACGAGGACUGGUCUUGCUGGCUUGGCCGUGUGCAACGAACUAUAGGUACUGUUCACAAGCACAACCGACCCUGGAAGGACAGUAAGACAAGGAUCAGAGGGAUGGCCCUAAGUGCUAUGGUUAGACAUGUGCUAACACAUGUAGCUCCGUUUUUGAGACAGUGUCUCAUGUAGAGCCUGGGUUAGCCGUUAAACAACGUCAACUAGCUGACAGCCAAGGCCUGCUGUAUGUCAGGUUUCAGUUGGGAAGAACAAAAGCGCUUGAGUUGCAGGGGUUAGUCAUAAAUGCUCCAAAUUAUCGGGUAAACAGAGGCAAACUCUCCAGUGGUGGUCACUGGUUUAUACUGGAAGCCUGAACUCUAGAACACUGCUUCUCUUGUGCCGUAUGGGUUUAGUUUCUACCUGUUAACACGGGGAAGAACACAGAAAGCAAUGCCCCUGAGACUUCCCGUUCUGGAGGCCUCCAGGAUUGCCUUCACUGAGCACCCUGUUUUCUUAGACACUCCACAUAAACCAGCUCACCCCUGCUCGAGUCUUUCUUUUUGGGGGACAGAGUCUCUCUGUGCAGCCCUGACUGGGCUGGAACUCACUCUGUAGACCAGGUUAGCCUUGAAUUCAAGAGAUCCGCCUGCUUCUGCAUCCUGAAUGCUGGGAUUUAAGGAGUGCACCACUACAAAAGGCCCCAGAUUUUUUUUUUUUUUUUGAAAUUUCACCUACAUGGGUGUUUUGCCUGCAUGUAUGUCUGUGUGAGGUUGUCUGAUACUCUGGAACUGUAGUUACAAUCAAGAGCUGCCAUAUGGGUGCCGGGAAUUGAACUUGGGACCUCUGGAAAAGCAGCAAAGCUUCCAACCACUGAGCCAUCUCUCCAGCCCAGUCGCAGAUUCUUUUAACGUCAACAAAAUGUAUUAUGAAUCAUAUGAAAGAUUCAUUUACAGAAAAAGAAAAAUACUAAGGAUAAAGCUGUCUUUAUGUAUUACUUUGGAGUGAAUGCUAGAGAUGAAUCAAUUUGAGUUCCUCUUCUAGAAAUGUCCCACUAUUUCACUGCCCCUUUCCUGGUCAUCCCUUCCCACAAUCCUUCCCGUUACCCCUCCCCUGACUCUUAAUCCAGGGCUUCUGAAGGGCGUUCCAGAUUCCAGCCUGGAAGUCUUAAGUGUCCAUGUCUUUUGGUUAAAAGCCAUAAAUAACAAAACACCCUUAAGUGUUCCUGAAAUUCAGAUGUGGGCAUUUUGUAUUCUAGUUUCAUCGGUCAGAAAUCACAGUCAAAUUUACCCACACCUUCAAAUACUCAGCUCAGACUUGUGGUGUUCAAGAUCACCUUCCUUCACAAACGUGGGCUUCCCUCAUCUCCCAGUCCACCUCCAACUCCCUCUGGGAGUGUGCCAGGCCCUUCACACCUGAACACAGGGACACUGAAUAGGCCUCACCCACUUUCCAUGUUCCAAGAACACGCCAUACUUUCCCUUGUUCUCAGUCUUUGCAGUAAUUAUUAAAUUAAGAAGGGGGAGAGUCCAUUCCUCACUUUCUAUUUUUCCCUACGCGCCGAGCUCUACCAAGUUCGGGCUGGCUUGUCCUCCCCAGCAGGUGAAUAAGAGUGAGUGGCAAUGUUCUUAAAUUUAGAAAUUUAUUCUGUUUAAUCCACAAGCUUUAUAUAGCUUUAGUUAAAAAAUAAAAUAAAAUAAAACAAGUGAAAUCAAGACACUGUCCAGGCCCUUCCAGCCGGCCAAAUACAGGAGCUCCUCAGUUGUGUGUACCAAUUGGAAGAGUAAGGGAAACCAUGAAUGGGAGCCACCAUGUUUCAUAAAACAAAUUUAUGUAACUGAAGGGUCCUUCCUGGGUCUAGUGAAUCGCCUUUACAAAAGAGGAAGAAAAGGGGAGAAGGAAACAAAACAACACAACCGGAAGGAGAAAACCCAGAGUUCCUAGUCAGUUUAGGAACUGUUCCAUGGGGCAGCCCUGUAGCUCAGGAGUGCGGCGCUCUAGAGCUGGGAUGCUGCCAGGACAGCAGACUCCAUGGGCAACAGAGUCAACACUCACUCGCCCAAACCUCUGUGGUACUUCAACAGUGCUCUCACUUCUGGGCAAGCUUACAAACCUAUACAAGGUUGGAAGCAUAAUUUACAUGGGUGCUAAGAUUCAAGAGAAUAGGGAGAAAAAGAAAAGACCCCAACCUUUUGGGAGAGGCGAGGGCAUUUAAAGGAACCACAAAAAUGCCAACAAUAUUCAAACCCCCUUUUUUAAAAAAGAGAUUUUUUUUUGGCUUAAAAUAUUUCACUCUAAAUGUCAAUGGAAGAAUUGUCACUAAUACACCGUGGACACCUUUGUAAUGUAAAUCCAUGCCCCCC